GCUUGCUACCUGACCUAGCGGCGGACGGGUGAGUAAUGCUUAGGAAUCUGCCUAUUAGUGGGGGACAACAUUCCGAAAGGAAUGCUAAUACCGCAUACGCCCUACGGGGGAAAGCAGGGGAUCUUCGGACCUUGCGCUAAUAGAUGAGCCUAAGUCAGAUUAGCUAGUUGGUGGGGUAAAGGCCUACCAAGGCGACGAUCUGUAGCGGGUCUGAGAGGAUGAUCCGCCACACUGGGACUGAGACACGGCCCAGACUCCUACGGGAGGCAGCAGUGGGGAAUAUUGGACAAUGGGCGAAAGCCUGAUCCAGCCAUGCCGCGUGUGUGAAGAAGGCCUUUUGGUUGUAAAGCACUUUAAGCGAGGAGGAGGCUACUUGGAUUAAUACUCUAGGAUAGUGGACGUUACUCGCAGAAUAAGCACCGGCUAACUCUGUGCCAGCAGCCGCGGUAAUACAGAGGGUGCGAGCGUUAAUCGGAUUUACUGGGCGUAAAGCGUGCGUAGGCGGCUUUUUAAGUCGGAUGUGAAAUCCCUGAGCUUAACUUAGGAAUUGCAUUCGAUACUGGGAAGCUAGAGUAUGGGAGAGGAUGGUAGAAUUCCAGGUGUAGCGGUGAAAUGCGUAGAGAUCUGGAGGAAUACCGAUGGCGAAGGCAGCCAUCUGGCCUAAUACUGACGCUGAGGUACGAAAGCAUGGGGAGCAAACAGGAUUAGAUACCCUGGUAGUCCAUGCCGUAAACGAUGUCUACUAGCCGUUGGGGCCUUUGAGGCUUUAGUGGCGCAGCUAACGCGAUAAGUAGACCGCCUGGGGAGUACGGUCGCAAGACUAAAACUCAAAUGAAUUGACGGGGGCCCGCACAAGCGGUGGAGCAUGUGGUUUAAUUCGAUGCAACGCGAAGAACCUUACCUGGUCUUGACAUAGUAAGAACUUUCCAGAGAUGGAUUGGUGCCUUCGGGAACUUACAUACAGGUGCUGCAUGGCUGUCGUCAGCUCGUGUCGUGAGAUGUUGGGUUAAGUCCCGCAACGAGCGCAACCCUUUUCCUUAUUUGCCAGCGAGUAAUGUCGGGAACUUUAAGGAUACUGCCAGUGACAAACUGGAGGAAGGCGGGGACGACGUCAAGUCAUCAUGGCCCUUACGACCAGGGCUACACACGUGCUACAAUGGUCGGUACAAAGGGUUGCUACCUAGCGAUAGGAUGCUAAUCUCAAAAAGCCGAUCGUAGUCCGGAUUGGAGUCUGCAACUCGACUCCAUGA
rnacentral:rRNA from 1 species